rnacentral:lncRNA from 1 species
GAUAUCUCUCCAUAUACAUAUACAAGGAGAUAUCUUUAUAUAUAGAGAGAGAUAUCUCCUAAGGGUUCUGUUUCUAUGGAGAAUUCUGACUGAUAAUGCUGGGAAACAGAAUCUGCUCAGAAGAGGGAGGAGCAGAUGGGGUUGGAGUGGCAAGAGAAAGGGGAAAAAAUUCAGACAUUCCGGUCGCUGCUGUCAAAAAUUAAGAACAUGCAGAGUCAAGGAGAGUAAUUGGAACAUGAAACAGGUCUGGGGACGCAAUGUUGAACCAAAAAGUGUGUUUCCCUGAGGAGCUGAGGUCAGAAAAUAAAGAGCCACUGGGUAGUCCAAGACUGGGGACUUGUGGCUGCAACAGAAGAUUCCCCUUGAAGGAGAAUGAACGGUGUUUCAAACCACAUCCGGCCGAAUCAGAUCAGGAGGCUGCAGCCACCUCUUCUGCAUCCACCUCUGCCUGUGAUGGCUCCCUGCCCCUACAAAAGACAUUAUCUGCUUGAGAACAAUCCUGGAGACGGGCCCUGCUGAUGAGCAAUAUCUCACGGGAGGACUGAAGGGGAAAAGGCUGUGGAGGACAUGGUCUUUAGACGGGAAGUUGAGCGGUGGCAACAAAAGUUACCCAUCGGCGAAAACAGCUGGGGAGCCAUCUGUCUGGGAGAAGCCUCCUGCCCAUUUCAUUACCCCCCUUUCUGCAUUUGUGAGAGGCCUGGCCGCUGACGGCAGGCGGUUUAUAGCAGAGGGAACAGAAGGAAACCCGUUGGCCCUUGGAUAACCUUGGCCUCAUUAGCAUCGAACCAAAGCCCACUGCGCUAUUGACUUCUAGUAAAUAUCCACCCAUCAAGAAGAUGUCCCGGAGCCCUGCCUCCGGGGUGUUCAGACACCAGACAGAGCCUUCUUGCUCCUCCAUCCGGGAGCGGGUGCCUAACCGUUCUCCCUGCCCAUAACCACCCAGCUCUCAGAAACCACUCCAUCUUCCCAGGAGGGGACAGUGGUGGGGGGUGGGCAGUGAGAAGAAAACCUCCGUGGUCACCUCGCUGAAAGUCUCCCAUUCUCUCCCUCUAAAGGGCCAAACAAACCCUGGAAAGGCAGUUUAGCAAAUGAAGUACAUACAAUUAGAUUUCCAACUGCUUUGAAAACUUUUAUUUUUGUACAGCAAAUGACACAUUAUCUUUCCAGAGGUCAGGAAAUAAUGCAGUGGGAGUCUUGUGACAUUGUGAGAGUUAAUGUUUCUAUUUGCCAUUGUGUCCUGCGCAAAGAAAGGCGCCGGGUCACCUGGGGU